rfam:Nocardiopsis sp. JB363 genome assembly, contig: Scaffold164
GAGAGCCGGAUGCACCUAAAGGUGCACGUCCGGUUCGGACCGGAGGCCGCUGGAAAAGGACCCAUUCCGGGCACCUCGCCAGCGGCCCACCGGGGC